UACGUAGGGUCCGAGCGUUGUCCGGAAUUAUUGGGCGUAAAGGGCUCGUAGGCGGUCUGUCGCGUCGGCUGUGAAAACUCGGGGCUCAACUCCGAGCCUGCAGUCGAUACGGGCAGACUAGAGUGCUGUAGGGGAGACUGGAAUUCCUGGUGUAGCGGUGAAAUGCGCAGAUAUCAGGAGGAACACCGGUGGCGAAGGCGGGUCUCUGGGCAGUAACUGACGCUGAGGAGCGAAAGCGUGGGGAGCGAACAGG
rnacentral:rRNA from 1 species